rnacentral:rRNA from 1 species
GAUGAACGCUGGCGGCGUGCCUAGUACAUGCAAGUCGAGCGAACGGACGAGAAGCUUGCUUCUCUGAUGUUAGCGGCGGUCGGGUGAGUAACACGUGGAUAACCUACCUAUAAGACUGGGAUAACUUCGGGAAACCGUAGCUAAUACCGGAUAAUAUUUUGAACCGCAUGGUUCAAAAGUGAAAGACGGUCUUGCUGUCACUUAUAGAUGGAUCCGCGCUGCAUUAGCUAGUUGGUAAGGUAACGGCUUACCAAGGCAACGAUGCAUAGCCGACCUGAGAGGGUGAUCGGCCACACUGGAACUGAGACACGGUCCAGACUCCUACGGGAGGCAGCAGUAGGGAAUCUUCCGCAAUGGGCGAAAGCCUGACGGAGCAACGCCGCGUGAGUGAUGAAGGUCUUCGGAUCGUAAAACUCUGUUAUUAGGGAAGAACAUAUGUGUAAGUAACUGUGCACAUCUUGACGGUACCUAAUCAGAAAGCCACGGCUAACUACGUG